rnacentral:rRNA from 1 species
GACGAACGCUGGCGGCGUGCUUAACACAUGCAAGUCGAACGGAAAGGCCCUGCUUUUGUGGGGUGCUCGAGUGGCGAACGGGUGAGUAACACGUGAGUAACCUGCCCUUGACUUUGGGAUAACUUCAGGAAACUGGGGCUAAUACCGGAUAGGAGCUCCUGCUGCAUGGUGGGGGUUGGAAAGUUUCGGCGGUUGGGGCUGGACUCGCGGCUUAUCAGCUUGUUGGUGGGGUAGUUGCGUACGAAGGCUUUGACGGGUAGCCGGCCUGAGAGGGUGACCGGCGACAUUGGGACUGAGAGACGGCCCAGACUCCUACGGGAGGCAGCAGUGGGGAAUAUUGCACAAUGGGCGGAAGCCUGAUGCAGCAACGCCGCGUGCGGGAUGACGGCCUUCGGGUUGUAAACCGCUUUCGCCUGUGACGAAGCGUGAGUGACGGUAAUGGGUAAAGAAGCACCGGCUAACUACGUG